UUUUUUGUGGAGAGUUUGAUCCUGGCUCAGGACGAACGCUGGCGGCGUGCUUAACACAUGCAAGUCGAACGGAAAGGCCUCUUGCUUGCAAGGGGUACUCGAGUGGCGAACGGGUGAGUAACACGUGGGUGAUCUGCCUUGCACUCUGGGAUAAGCUUGGGAAACUGGGUCUAAUACCGGAUAUGAACUGCCUUUAGUGUGGUGGUUGGAAAGUUUUUUCGGUGCAAGAUGAGCUCGCGGCCUAUCAGCUUGUUGGUGGGGUAAUGGCCUACCAAGGCGUCGACGGGUAGCCGGCCUGAGAGGGUGUACGGCCACAUUGGGACUGAGAUACGGCCCAGACUCCUACGGGAGGCAGCAGUGGGGAAUAUUGCACAAUGGGCGGAAGCCUGAUGCAGCGACGCCGCGUGGGGGAUGACGGCCUUCGGGUUGUAAACUCCUUUCGACAGGGACGAAGCUUUUUGUGACGGUACCUGUAUAAGAAGCACCGGCUAACUACGUGCCAGCAGCCGCGGUAAUACGUAGGGUGCGAGCGUUGUCCGGAAUUACUGGGCGUAAAGAGCUCGUAGGUGGUUUGUCGCGUCGUCUGUGAAAUUCCGGGGCUUAACUUCGGGCGUGCAGGCGAUACGGGCAUAACUUGAGUGCUGUAGGGGAGACUGGAAUUCCUGGUGUAGCGGUGAAAUGCGCAGAUAUCAGGAGGAACACCGAUGGCGAAGGCAGGUCUCUGGGCAGUUACUGACGCUGAGGAGCGAAAGCAUGGGUAGCAAACAGGAUUAGAUACCCUGGUAGUCCAUGCCGUAAACGGUGGGCGCUAGGUGUAGGGGGCUUCCACGUCUUCUGUGCCGUAGCUAACGCAUUAAGCGCCCCGCCUGGGGAGUACGGCCGCAAGGCUAAAACUCAAAGGAAUUGACGGGGGCCCGCACAAGCGGCGGAGCAUGUGGAUUAAUUCGAUGCAACGCGAAGAACCUUACCUGGGCUUGACAUACACCAGAUUGCUGCAGAGAUGUAGUGUCCCUUGUGGUUGGUGUACAGGUGGUGCAUGGUUGUCGUCAGCUCGUGUCGUGAGAUGUUGGGUUAAGUCCCGCAACGAGCGCAACCCUUGUCUUAUGUUGCCAGCAUUUGGUUGGGGACUCAUGAGAGACUGCCGGGGUUAACUCGGAGGAAGGUGGGGAUGACGUCAAAUCAUCAUGCCCCUUAUGUCCAGGGCUUCACACAUGCUACAAUGGUCGGUACAACGCGCAGCGACACUGUGAGGUGGAGCGAAUCGCUGAAAGCCGGUCUUAGUUCGGAUUGGGGUCUGCAACUCGACCCCAUGAAGUCGGAGUCGCUAGUAAUCGCAGAUCAGCAACGCUGCGGUGAAUACGUUCCCGGGCCUUGUACACACCGCCCGUCACGUCAUGAAAGUUGGUAACACCCGAAGCCAGUGGCCUAAACUUGUUAGGGAGCUGUCGAAGGUGGGAUCGGCGAUUGGGACGAAGUCGUAACAAGGUCCCCGUACCGGAAGGUGCGGGUGGAUCACCUCCUUUCUAAGGAG
rnacentral:rRNA from 1 species